CCGGAAAGAGAGAGUUCGUGGGAGACCAAUAGAACAAGUUUCGAUUUCAUGAAACUGAGGGGAUUUUUUUCUUUCUCAGCAGCGCCGCCGUCAGGCGGACGAGUGAAUCGGAGUGUUGAAAUUGUUGGUGGUGUCGGAGUAAUCGUGGGAGUUGCAGGAACUGAACGAAGCUCCGAUGAAGAAGGCAAUGGCGGUGGAGAAGGCGAUGCAGAGUAAUACCAUCAACGGCAGUUGGGCGAUAUUAUUGACGGGGGCGCGGCGGCGGAGAUUGACGGAGGGGAAGCCCGGGAAAGGAAUCCGGACUGAGUUGAGACCCUCGAGUUCUGGUUUGGGG
rnacentral:lncRNA from 1 species